rnacentral:misc_RNA from 1 species
UGGAAACACGGUGCCGGUUAAUGGCCGGCGGGGGCGACCCCAGGGAAAGUGCCACAGAAAGCAAACCGCCACGGUUUACCCGUGGCAAGGGUGAAAGGGUGGGGUAAGAGCCCACCGCGCGACUGGCAACAGGAGCGGCACGGUAAACCCCACCGGGAGCAAGACCGAAUAGGGGCGGUGCGAGGGGAAACCCUCGAGGGCUGUUUCCGGCUCACCGUCCGGGUAGGUUGCGUGAGGCGCAUGGCAACAUGCGCCCAAGAUGAAUGGCCGCCACGUUCUCGCCUCGCAAGGGGCGAGGG